CAGCACCUCAAGAGGUCAGGAUGAUUAUUGGGCCUAAAGCAUCCGUAGCCGGCUCUGUAAGUUUUCGGUUAAAUCUGUAUGCUCAACAUACAGGCUGCCGGGAAUACUGCAGAGCUAGGGAGUGGGAGAGGUAGACGGUACUCGGUAGGAAGGGGUAAAAUCCUUUGAUCUAUUGAUGACCACCUGUGGCGAAGGCGGUCUACCAGAACACGUCCGACGGUGAGGGAUGAAAGCUGGGGGAGCAAACCGGAUUAGAUACCCGCGUAGUCC
rnacentral:rRNA from 1 species